CACAUGCAAGUCGAACGAGAAAGGGGGACGUUCGGGUCCCGUCGAGUACAGUGGCGCACGGGUGAGUAACACGUGACUUAUCUACCCUCGAGUGGGGAAGUAACUUCGGGAAACCGAGGCUAAUACCGCAUAAUACCCACGGUCAAAGGAGCAAUUCGCUUGAGGAGGAGGUCGCGGCCGAUUAGUUAGUUGUCGGGGUAAGUGGCCCCGACCCAAGACGGUGAUCGGUAUCCGGCCUGAGAGGGCGCACGGACACACUGGAACUGAAACACGGUCCAGACUCCUACGGGAGGCAGCAGUGGGGAAGUUUUGCGCAAUGGGGGAAACCCGUGACGCAGCAACGCCGCGUGGAGGAUGAAGUCUCUUGGGACGUAAACUCCUUUCGAUCGGGACGAUUAUGACGGUACCGGAAGAAGAAGCCCCGGCUAACUUCGUG
rnacentral:rRNA from 1 species